rnacentral:tRNA from 1 species
GAUCCAAGUGUGCUGAAGUGCAAAUUCGGCGAAAUAACUUUAUAUGUUUGUGGGUCU